UCUCCGUUGGUGAACCAGCGGAGGGAUCAUUACCGAGUUUACAACUCCCAAACCCCUGUGAAUAUACCAUUUGUUGCCUCGGCGGUGCUUGCUUCGGCAGCCCGCCAGAGGACCCAAACCCUUGAUUUUAUACAGUAUCUUCUGAGUAAAUGAUUAAAUAAAUCAAAACUUUCAACAACGGAUCUCUUGGUUCUG
rnacentral:misc_RNA from 1 species